CCUACGGGUGGCAGCAGUGGGGGAUAUUGCACAAUGGGGGGAACCCUGAUGCAGCGACGCCGCGUGGGUGAAGAAGGGCCUCGGCGCGUAAAGCCCUGUCAGCAGGGAAGAAAAUGACGGUAGCUGAAGAAGAAGACCCGGCGAACGACGUGCCAGGAGCCGCGGUAAUACGUAGGGGGCAAGCGUUAUCCGGAGUGACUGGGGGGACAGGGGGCGCAGACGGCGAUGCAAGACAGGAGUGAAAGCCCGGGGCCCACCCCCGGGACUGCUCUUGGAACUGCGUGGCUGGAGUGCAGGAGGGGCAGUCGGAAUUCCUGGUGUAGCGGUGAAAUGCGUAGAUAUCAGGAGGAACACCGGUGGCGAAGGCGGCCUGCUGGACUGCACCUGACGUUGAGGCCCGCCAGCGUGGGGAGCAAACAGGAUUAGAUACCCCUGUAGUC
rnacentral:rRNA from 1 species